CCUACAGGAGGCAGCAGUGAGGAAUAUUGGUCAAUGGCCGGAAGGCUGAACCAGCCAUGCCGCGUGAAGGUCAGUGCCCUAUGGGCGUUAAACCUCUUUUGUGCGGGAGCAAUAAUGGUCACGUGUGGCCAGACGAGAUUACCCUACGAAUUAGCAUCGGCUAACCUCGUGCCAGCAGCCGCGGUAAUACGUGGGGGGCGAGUGUUAUCCGGAUUCAUUGGGCGUAAAGCGCGCGUAGGCGGCCUGUUAGGUCGGGGGUCAAAUACCGGGGGUCAACCCCGGUCCGCACCCGAUACCGGCAGGCUUGAGGAUGGUAGGGGAAGGCGGAAUUCCCAGUGUAGCGGUGGAAUGCGCAGAUAUUGGGAAGAACACCGGCGGCGAAGGCGGCCUUCUGGGCCACGACUGACGCUGAGGCGCGAAAGCUAGGGGAGCGAACAGGAUUAGAUACCCUAGUAGUC
rnacentral:rRNA from 1 species